rnacentral:rRNA from 1 species
UGGGGAAUUUUGGACAAUGGGCGCAAGCCUGAUCCAGCAAUGCCGCGUGCAGGAUGAAGGCCUUCGGGUUGUAAACUGCUUUUGUACGGAACGAAAAGGCUCUGGUUAAUACCUGGGGCUCAUGACGGUACCGUAAGAAUAAGCACCGGCUAACUACGUGCCAGCAGCCGCGGUAAUACGUAGGGUGCAAGCGUUAAUCGGAAUUACUGGGCGUAAAGCGUGCGCAGGCGGUUAUAUAAGACAGAUGUGAAAUCCCCGGGCUCAAUCUGGGACCUGCAUUUGUGACGGUAUAGCUGGAGUACGGUAGAGGAGGAUGGAAUUCCAGGUGUAGCAGUGGAAUGCGUAGAUAUGCGGAGGAACACCGAUGGCGAAGGCAAUCCCCUGGGCCUGUACUGACGCUGAUGCGCGAAAGCGUGGGGAGCAAACA